UGGGGAAUUUUGCACAAUGGGGGCAACCCUGAUGCAGCGACGCCGCGUGAUUUAGAAGGCCUUCGGGUUGUAAAAUCUUUUGUAUGGGAAGAAAAUGACAGUACCAUACGAAUAAGGACCGGCUAAUUACGUGCCAGCAGCCGCGGUAAUACGUAAGGUCCGAGCGUUGUCCGGAAUCAUUGGGCGUAAAGGGUACGUAGGCGGAUAAGCAAGUUAGAAGUGAAAUCCUAUAGCUCAUCUAUAGUAAGCUUUUAAAACUGCUCAUCUUGAGGUAUGGAAGGGAAAGUGGAAUUCCUAGUGUAGCGGUGAAAUGCGCAGAUAUUAGGAGGAAUACCGGUGGCGAAGGCGACUUUCUGGCCAUAAACUGACGCUGAGGUACGAAAGCGUGGGUAGCAAACAGG
rnacentral:rRNA from 1 species